rnacentral:tRNA from 1 species
UUAACUGAAACCAAAAUAGAGGUAUAUUACUGUUAAUAAUAUAAUUGAAUAAUAUUUUCCAGUUAAG